rnacentral:piRNA from 1 species
UACCUCGGUCUCUGUAGAAUCCAGUUUU